GAUCCUAGUCCAUCGUCAAGCAUUUAUGCUAUACCUAUUCAUAUGGCUCUGAAGAACACUGUUUCUAUGUUGUGGAUUUCAUUAGUGUCCUUAUUUUGAAGGCUAUUUCAUGCAAGGGUACAUGAAGAUUGGAUAACCAGGAAUGUAGCAGAUGUAGUUUGCAUGUUUGCACUGCAAGUAGAUGAAUUGAUUCAAUCUCUAUCAUCGGCAAAAGAUAUACUUCCCCCUUCAUAUAACUUUUAUGAUCUUUCAACUAUUUAUCUAUGUUUUUAUAUGGGAUGAUGAAUAUAUCACAUGCUUCAGAAAAGGAUAAACGUGGUGAAAAAUAUCAAUUCACUAUAAAAUUGAUUUGAGAAUUGGUGUUUUCUUCAUUUGUAUGUUGUUUCUAUGUUGGAAUGGAUGAAUGGUGGGACGCUUGGCCUCUAUCCUAUAGUAAAAGUAUAUGUUUUUUUACAUUUAUUUAUUAGCAAACAACAGUGAUAUUAAUCUUUUUUUUGUUGUCUUCUUUUCAGUUGUAUUUAUUGUUGUUAGUAAAAUAGGAUUCUCUUCUUAGGAUCUUAGUUUCUUCACUUGUAUUAGACUUAAUAAUGGCUUGCAUUGCAUUGGUGUUGAUUUUACCUAAAUUUCGAGGUUUACAAUUUUUAAUUUUUAUUAAUUAUUUACGUUUUCUCACUUUUA